ensembl:lncRNA
GCUUCAGAUCAGUUAGCCCCGGCUUCAGAUCAGUUAGCCCCGGCUUCAGAUCAGUUAGCCCCGGCUUCAGAUCAGUUAGCCCCGGCUUCAGAUCAGUUCAUAUGAACAUGAUGAUAUAACCUACUAUACAUCAGGGAGGUGUCCCAAAUUAACCUCUAAUCCCUUUAAAGUGAACAACAUUCGACCAGAGUCCUGCAAAACUAGGGCCCAUUGGACUAGGGCUCUAAAUGACUAGGGCCCAUACGACUCUGGUCAAACGUAGUGUACUAUAUAGUGAACAGGGUUAAAUUUGGGACACUUCAGAGUUUCAGACACCUUAUAGUCAUAGAUCAGGGUAAUUGAAUAUAAUCAUCUUUGUACAAAAACACAUUCACAGAGAACCUGCAUCAGAGAGACAGCAUCACAGUAACAGAAAACACAAAAUACUUACAAAUGUCUGAGGUGAGCUCCACUUAUUCCAGUGGUUCCAUUAUAGAUAAACAAACUAUAUCCAGCUCAGCUUAAGUAUUUAAAAGAAUUUGACAAAAGUAUCCCCCAAUAAGGUUUUGUCCAGUUUUAACCUUUAGCUAAAUGCUAACGGAGCUAGCAUAAACUAGCAAACUCGGGUUGUAACCAUUAGCUAGAUGCUAACGGAGCUAGCAUAAACUAGCAAACUCUGGUUGUAACCAUGAGCUAGAUGCUAACGGAGCUAGCAGGGUCUCAGAUGGUGGCUGACUCCUGCCCAGUCUUCUCCUCUGCCUCCCCUCCUUCCUCUUCCUCUUUAUUCUUCCUGUGCUUCUUCUUCUUGUUCUUGUGUUUGUGUUCCUUCCUUCCUUCGACGGGAGGCUCAACGUCGGCAGAAUGCUUCUUGUGCUUCUUGUGUUUUUUAUGUUUCUUGUGUUUCUUCUUCUUCUUCUUGUCCGUCGCCGUGGAGCCGCUGUGGUUGCUAGGGGAGCCGCCGGGGCUCUGGGAGGCGGGGCUCUGGGUGUUGUGAGAGGGGCUGUGGCUCAGGCCACUGCCCCGCUCCCCGUCUGACCCCUCCCCUUCGCUGUAGUCGGGGACGAAGGCUGCCUCGUCCGUCUCUCUACCCAGGUCAGAACAUAGACGCUGUCGCCUUGGCUCUGGCCCCGCCCCUCGACUCUCCUCCCUCCCUACCCCUCCUCUUCCUUCCUCCUUUACUCCUCUGGAUUCGGUCUUAGCUGGUUUUCUAAAGUUCAUCUGCCCCUUUUUAAGCCCUCUGCCUUCCUCCCUCCUUCUAGUCCCCUCCUCCCUCCCUCUCCUCCCCUCUGUGUUGGCUGUUUUAGAGACACUACCCUGCACGUCCCUGCCUUGGCCACUAGGCGGUGCUGGUGAGACUUCUCUCCUCAGAGCGUCUCUGGGCACGGAGGAGGAAACCGCCAACGCCCCAUUCUCCCUGGACGCUGAGUGCUGCUCCUCUUCCUCCUCCUCCUCCUCUCUCUCCCACUUGGACCGGGGUGGAGGCUGGAUGAGGACUCCUCCGGUCCCACGGUCCCUCCUCUCCCUGCCUGGGCUGGGGAACUGGACGGGACUGGGUCUCCUCUGGGUCUGGAGGUCCCGGGGUUUUGACACAGCACCCUGGCUCUGGCUCGGCUCAGACCUGCUGCUGCUGGAACACACAGAUCCAAGAUCAGGGGUUAGAGAGAACAUCAACUAGGAACCAUUAUACCCAUGUUAUAUACACAGAUCUAGGAUCAGGGGUUAGAAACCAUUAUACCAUGUUAUUAAACAGAUCUAGGAUCAGGGGUUAGGAACCAUUAUACCCAUGUUAUAUACACAGAUCUAGGAUCAGGGGUUAGAGAGAACAUCAACUAGGAACCAUUAUACCCAUGUUAUAUACACAGAUCUAGGAUCAGGGGUUAGAGAGAACAUCAACUAAGAACCAUUAUACCCAUGUUAUAUACACAGAUCUAGGAUCAGGGGUUAGGAACCAUUAUACCCAUGUUAUAUACACAGAUCUAGGACCAGGGGUUAGGAACCAUUAUACCCAUGUUAUAUACACAG